UACGGGGGGAGCAAGCGUUGUUCGGAUUUACUGGGCGUAAAGGGCGCGUAGGCGGCCAGCACAAGUCAGUUGUGAAAUCUCCGAGCUUAACUCGGAAAGGUCAACUGAUACUGUGCGGCUAGAGUCCGGAAGAGGCGAGUGGAAUUCCUGGUGUAGCGGUGAAAUGCGCAGAUAUCAGGAAGAACACCCGUGGCUAAGGCGGCUCUCUAGUACGGUACUGACGCUGAGACGCGAAAGCGUGGGGAGCGAACAGG
rnacentral:rRNA from 1 species